rnacentral:rRNA from 1 species
AACGCGAAGAACCUUACCUACUCUUGACAUCCAGAGAACUUUCCAGAGAAGGAUUGGUGCCUUCGGGAACUCUGAGACAGGUGCUGCAUGGCUGUCGUCAGCUCGUGUUGUGAAAUGUUGGGUUAAGUCCCGCAACGAGCGCAACCCUUAUCCUUUGUUGCCAGCGAUUCGGUCGGGAACUCAAAGGAGACUGCUGGUGAUAAACCGGAGGAAGGUGGGGAUGACGUCAAGUCAUCAUGGCCCUUACGAGUAGGGCUACACACGUGCUACAAUGGCGCAUACAAAGAGAAGCGACCUCGCGAGAGCAAGCGGACCUCACAAAGUGCGUCGUAGUCCGGAUCGGAGUCUGCAACUCGACUCCAUGAAGUCGGAAUCGCUAGUAAUCGUAGAUCAGAAUGCUACGGUGAAUACGUUCCCGGGCCUUGUACACACCG